GUGGCUUUCUGCGAGCAACUGCGCACUCCAAUAGCCAUUCAAUAGGAGAUACUGAGAAUACGAAAAAUACCAAUGGAAUAUUGCUUAGUUUUAGGUAAAUAAUAAAUAGUAACUUGUUUACUACAUUUUCAAGAUAAAUACGCCGUCUUAUCUAAUACCGAUAAACGAAAUGUAUGUUGGAAAUUGUUAAAACAAAUGGAAACUCACUGAACGGAUUUUGAUGCAGUUUUCCAUGGUAUAUGGACUACCGUGCCGAUUAUUUUCAGAUUAUUGUCAAUAUCUCAUAGGGUAGCUGUAGUUUGGGCGAGCGGAGGGACUGCUUAUGCCGGAGGAUAGGGCGGAAGUCCCUUUUCAGAAGGAAUCAUGAAAAAGAGUGGUUGGAUUUUUAAGUUUUGCUCAGAACAAUUUGAAAAUAUUGGAAGGAAUAUAGGUCCAAAGUUAGAGUUCCUGGUAAAAUCAGAUUUAGAAGACCAAAUAAUAAUGGCUACCUCUUUUCAAUAUCGAUAAAGUAAACCGGUUACGUAAGAUAAAAUUGAAUGUUUAUUACUUGGAAUGACAAAACCGAGGGAAGUAAGUCAAGAGCUAUAAAAACGAGUACACGGAACUGUUUUAACUGCGUUACAAUUAUGUUCAAAAAACUAAAAACUUUUGGGUGUUUCAUUCCCACUAGCCAGUAAUGCUGGUGGGCGGGCA